AGAAAUUGAUUUACAUGAGAAAAAAAAUCUAACCUGAUAUAUCAAAGCAAUAAAAAAUGUCAAGUAUUACUGUAUGCUGUUCUUAUGACAUUUAGUAUAAUUGAUUUCCAUAUAUGAUUUUAAUUGAAUUUGUAAUGGUAAGGAUAGCACUACUAAUUCAAUCUUGUAACUAUUAAUGAUAAAAUAGAAACUGUCUGAUAAUUUGUCUAAUCAAUGUACUUAACAUGAAAUAGUAACUACACUUUUACUUGUGAAUUUGUUUUUUUGUCUGAUUUUUCCUGUUUUAUAAUCUGUUCAUUAUUUGUAUUUCUUUGAGAUCAAUAAAG
rnacentral:lncRNA from 1 species